rnacentral:rRNA from 1 species
UACAGAGGGUGCAAGCGUUGUUCGGAAUUACUGGGCGUAAAGCGCGUGUAGGCUGCUAUGUAAGUCAGGUGUGAAAGCCCUCAGCUUAACUGAGGAAGUGCACUUGAUACUGCGUCGCUUGAGUGUCGGAGGGGGGUGGCGGAAUUCCCGGUGUAGAGGUGAAAUUCGUAGAUAUCGGGAGGAACACCUGUGGCGAAGGCGGCCACCUGGACGACAACUGACGCUGAGACGCGAAAGCGUGGGUAGCAAACAGG